rnacentral:rRNA from 1 species
CGAACGGUAACAGGAAGCAGCUUGCUGCUUCGCUGACGAGUGGCGGACGGGUGAGUAAUGUCUGGGAAGCUGCCUGAUGGAGGGGGAUAACUACUGGAAACGGUAGCUAAUACCGCAUAAUGUCGCAAGACCAAAGAGGGGGACCUUCGGGCCUCUUGCCAUCGGAUGUGCCCAGAUGGGAUUAGCUUGUUGGUGGGGUAACGGCUCACCAAGGCGACGAUCCCUAGCUGGUCUGAGAGGAUGACCAGCCACACUGGAACUGAGACACGGUCCAGACUCCUACGGGAGGCAGCAGUGGGGAAUAUUGCACAAUGGGCGCAAGCCUGAUGCAGCCAUGCCGCGUGUAUGAAGAAGGCCUUCGGGUUGUAAAGUACUUUCAGCGGGGAGGAAGGGAGUAAAGUUAAUACCUUUGCUCAUUGACGUUACCCGCAGAAGAAGCACCGGCUAACUCCGUGCCAGCAGCCGCGGUAAUACGGAGGGUGCAAGCGUUAAUCGGAAUCACUGGGCGUAAAGCGCACGCAGGCGGUUUGUUAAGUCAGAUGUGAAAUCCCCGGGCUCAACCUGGGAACUGCAUCUGAUACUGGCAAGCUUGAGUCUCGUAGAGGGGGGUAGAAUUCCAGGUGUAGCGGUGAAAUGCGUAGAGAUCUGGAGGAAUACCGGUGGCGAAGGCGGCCCCCUGGACGAAGACUGACGCACAGGUGCGAAAGCGUGGGGAGCAAACAGGAUUAGAUACCCUGGUAGUCCACGCCGUAAACGAUGUCGACUUGGAGGUUGUGCCCUUGAGGCGUGGCUUCCGGAGCUAACGCGUUAAGUCGACCGCCUGGGGAGUACGGCCGCAAGGUUAAAACUCAAAUGAAUUGACGGGGGCCCGCACAAGCGGUGGAGCAUGUGGUUUAAUUCGAUGCAACGCGAAGAACCUUACCUGGUCUUGACAUCCACGGAAGUUUUCAGAGAUGAGAAUGUGCCUUCGGGAACCGUGAGACAGGUGCUGCAUGGCUGUCGUCAGCUCGUGUUGUGAAAUGUUGGGUUAAGUCCCGCAACGAGCGCAACCCUUAUCCUUUGUUGCCAGCGGUCCGGCCGGGAACUCAAAGGAGACUGCCAGUGAUAAACUGGAGGAAGGUGGGGAUGACGUCAAGUCAUCAUGGCCCUUACGACCAGGGCUACACACGUGCUACAAUGGCGCAUACAAAGAGAAGCGACCUCGCGAGAGCAAGCGGACCUCAUAAAGUGCGUCGUAGUCCGGAUUGGAGUCUGCAACUCGACUCCAUGAAGUCGGAAUCGCUAGUAAUCGUGGAUCAGAAUGCCACGGUGAAUACGUUCCCGGGCCUUGUACACACCGCCCGUCACACCAUGGGAGUGGGUUGCAAAAGAAGUAGGUAGCUUAACCUUCGGGAGGGCGCUUACCACUUUGUGAUUCAUGACUGGGGUGAAGUCGUAACAAGGUAACCGUAGGGGAACCUGCGGUUG